AUUGAACGCUGGCGGCAGGCCUAACACAUGCAAGUCGAACGGUAACAGGAAACAGCUUGCUGUUUCGCUGACGAGUGGCGGACGGGUGAGUAAUGUCUGGGAAACUGCCUGAUGGAGGGGGAUAACUACUGGAAACGGUAGCUAAUACCGCAUAACGUCGCAAGACCAAAGAGGGGGACCUUCGGGCCUCUUGCCAUCGGAUGUGCCCAGAUGGGAUUAGCUAGUAGGUGGGGUAACGGCUCACCUAGGCGACGAUCCCUAGCUGGUCUGAGAGGAUGACCAGCCACACUGGAACUGAGACACGGUCCAGACUCCUACGGGAGGCAGCAGUGGGGAAUAUUGCACAAUGGGCGCAAGCCUGAUGCAGCCAUGCCGCGUGUAUGAAGAAGGCCUUCGGGUUGUAAAGUACCUUCAGCGGGGAGGAAGGGAGUAAAGUUAAUACCUUUACUCAUUGACGUUACCCGCAGAAGAAGCACCGGCUAACUCCGUG
rnacentral:rRNA from 1 species